ACUACGGGAGGCAGCAGUGGGGGAUAUUGGACAAUGGGGGGAACCCUGAUCCAGCGACGCCGCGUGAGUGAAGAAGUAUUUCGGUAUGUAAAGCUCUGUCAGCAGGGAAGAAAGAAAUGACGGUACCUGACCAAGAAGCCCCGGCUAACUACGUGCCAGCAGCCGCGGUAAUACGUAGGGGGCAAGCGUUAUCCGGAAUUACUGGGUGUAAAGGGAGCGUAGACGGUUAAGUAAGUCUGGAGUGAAAGGCCGGGGCCCAACCCCGGGACUGCUCUGGAAACUAUUGAACUUGAGUGCAGGAGAGGUAAGCGGAAUUCCUAGUGUAGCGGUGAAAUGCGUAGAUAGUAGGAGGAACACCAGGGGCGAAGGCGGCUUACUGGACUGUAACUGACGUUGAGGCUCGAAAGCGUGGGGAGCAAACAGGAUUAGAUACCCUUGUAGUC
rnacentral:rRNA from 1 species